AGAGUUUGAUCCUGGCUCAGGAUGAACGCUGGCGGCGUGCUUAACACAUGCAAGUCGAACGAACCUUCGGGUUAGUGGCGGACGGGUGAGUAACGCGUGAGAAUCUGCCCUCAGGAGGGGGAUAACGGCUGGAAACGGCCGCUAAUACCCCAUAUGCCGAGAGGUGAAAUGAAUUUCGCCUGAGGAUGAGCUCGCGUCUGAUUAGCUAGUUGGUGGGGUAAAGGCCUACCAAGGCUUCGAUCAGUAGCUGGUCUGAGAGGAUGAUCAGCCACACUGGGACUGAGACACGGCCCAGACUCCUACGGGAGGCAGCAGUGGGGAAUUUUCCGCAAUGGGCGAAAGCCUGACGGAGCAACGCCGCGUGAGGGAUGAAGGCCUCUGGGCUGUAAACCUCUUUUAUCAAGGAAGAAGAUCUGACGGUACUUGAUGAAUAAGCCACGGCUAAUUCCGUGCCAGCAGCCGCGGUAAUACGGGAGUGGCAAGCGUUAUCCGGAAUUAUUGGGCGUAAAGCGUCCGCAGGCGGUCUUUUAAGUCUGUCGUCAAAGCGUGGAGCUUAACUCCAUUACUGCGAUGGAAACUGGGAGACUAGAGUGUGGUAGGGGCAGAGGGAAUUCCCGGUGUAGCGGUGAAAUGCGUAGAUAUCGGGAAGAACACCAGUGGCGAAGGCGCUCUGCUGGGCCAUAACUGACGCUCAUGGACGAAAGCCAGGGGAGCGAAAGGGAUUAGAUACCCCUGUAGUCCUGGCCGUAAACGAUGAACACUAGGUGUCGGGGGAAUCGACCCCCUCGGUGUCGUAGCCAACGCGUUAAGUGUUCCGCCUGGGGAGUACGCACGCAAGUGUGAAACUCAAAGGAAUUGACGGGGGCCCGCACAAGCGGUGGAGUAUGUGGUUUAAUUCGAUGCAACGCGAAGAACCUUACCAGGGUUUGACAUCCUGCGAAUCUCUUGGAAACGAGAGAGUGCCUUCGGGAGCGCAGUGACAGGUGGUGCAUGGCUGUCGUCAGCUCGUGUCUGAGAUGUUGGGUUAAGUCCCGCAACGAGCGCAACCCACGUCGUUAGUUGCCAGCAUUUAGUUGGGCACUCUAGCGAGACCGCCGGUGAUAAACCGGAGGAAGGUGUGGAUGACGUCAAGUCAUCAUGCCCCUUACAUCCUGGGCUACACACGUACUACAAUGCUACGGACAAAGGGCAGCAAGCUCGCGAGAGUUAGCAAAUCCCAUAAACCGUGGCUCAGUUCAGAUCGUAGGCUGCAACUCGCCUACGUGAAGGAGGAAUCGCUAGUAAUCGCAGGUCAGCAUACUGCGGUGAAUACGUUCCCGGGCCUUGUACACACCGCCCGUCACACCAUGGAAGUUGGCCACGCCCGAAGCCGUUACUCCAACCCUUGUGGAGGAGGACGUCGAAGGUGGGGCUGAUGACUGGGGUGAAGUCGUAACAAGGUAACCAAGGGCGAA
rnacentral:rRNA from 1 species